CAACAAUCAAUUUUAUUUUGAAGAGGUGAGUACACUCGCCUCUGCAUUGGAAGAUGCGCACAUCCAUUUUAUUAUACGUGAAACAAGCUCAAUUCAUCAAGUAGCAAAUAAUAAGACAAAUAAAAAUAAAACAUGAACACAACCGCUCAUACUCCAGAUUACAUAGCUCAUUCACAUAAUCUACAAGUGUCUCAUACUCUCAUUUGCCAAACUGCUGGUUGAAUAAGCCAUGUGCAACCAUUUCCAACCAGCUGCACCCAGAGACCAUAAGCGCAUGCGCAUCCACAUGAUGCAGUGAUGACUGCAUAUUGAAGUUGUAACCUGGUAAAUAAUCUGCAAGAAAUUAGGAGUUGGUGAUCGGAUAAAAACGCAGUCAUUUCAACAAUUUUUCAUAUUGCCCAGAGAUCUGCACAAACUCACACACAAACUUGCCCCGUGAGCUUAUGAUUAGUACCACUGAAGCAAUUCCCAAAAAAAAUGGAAUACUCGUUGGUGGUGCUAAAUUGUAAGUAACAUGAAUCGUGUGUCAGAUCAAGGUAGUAAAUGGACAUGACAUAAAUAAAUGGUGAAUUGUCUCUCCUCCAGAUCACAAAAACAAUAUUUUUUGCUACCAUGUUACUCCCUAUCUUCCGAUUUAGAUGGCUCAAAUCUGAAAUUGCAUCAACCAAUAUAGACUAUGAGUGGAUGACAAGAGUUUUGUGGAUACAAAACUGCCCAAUGAAAUAUUAUCUACUUAUUCAAGUGCAGCACCCUCCCUUUCAUUGGAUUUUCAAGGUGCAUGUGGAGUAAGAUGCAUGCAUGACCACUAGUUCUCUCACUUUCAUUAAAUGUGGCAUGUGACUCAAAGCUCUUUAACUCAAUUGGACUCAAAGUGAGCCUAAUAUUAUGGAAAUCUGUGCAGAAUUCAAUGUUCAAAGGAAAAGCCCCAAGAACAUAAGCCACCCAAUCCUACUUUCUGAACACAAUAUUAUAUAGUUUGGUAUUGUAGAUCUAAUAGGCUGCCAUCCAACCAGGUAUCUUCCAAAAAAAAUGGUUGGCCAUCACCAUGCUUAAAGGAUCCCUCAUAAAAAAGUAUGACUUGACCUUCAUCAAACCCCUCCAAAAUGGUGAAUCGGUAGGCUUAGCAUCUAUUUGGGAUAAUGUUGUGGAGUUCAGGUAUUUUUUUAUUCAACAACUCUUAUCAAACAUCUUCCUUGUUAUGUAGUUUAUACAACCAUUUGCUGAGUAGGCAUUUGUUCUUAUUUUUAGGUUUUCAAUGCACAACCCACCCUGGUCCUUAGGGUUACACAAAAUAUCUCAUUUAGCGUGUUUCUCCAUCUGCUCCUCGCAUUGCCAGAAGAACCUAGACUGAUAAAAGUUUAGCCUUUUUAAUACCCCUUCAGGUAUCUCAAAAAAGGAUAGCAUGAACAUCAGUAAACUACUAUGAACAACAUUGAUGAGAGUAAGUCGUCCUCCAUAUGACAUAUGCUUACCGUUCCAACUGUUGAGCUUCUUUUCGAAACGGUCUUCAAUUAAUUACCCAACAAAUAGUGGUAGACUAAUUUUUCUAUUGUAUAAUUUUUUAACACUAAUCACUAUAUACUUAUAUCCACUUAAUAGUAUAUUUUUACCUAGUCGCCUUAGCUUCCAAUGUGGGGUCCCUUUGUUGGGUUGUCACAUUACCUUGUCCAACAAAGUAAUUAAGACUGCUCACACCAAGAUUGACCCUAGGUAGGCGGCUACCACAUCCUGUCGGGGGUAUGCUGCGACGGAGGCACAUGAUAGGCGCCCCAUAGAUGGCAGCGACGACAACCCCCCUCGAUGGAGACAGGUGGCCAUCUCAUUGAAGAUUUCAGGUGGUCGUCGCAUCUUGUCGAUGGCAACCCAUGAAGGAGACACAAUGGGUGACCACCAUAUCUCAAUGACAACAGAUGACCAUGAUUACAGAAAGUCCAAGAAAUAUACAUUCUUUUCUUUACUCCCUUCGUGUUAGCCUAUUUUUCCACGAGGAUAGCUUAGCCUGUUGCACACAACUUUGUACUCCCUCCGUUGUUAAAUAUAGAUCUUUUAAGAGAUUUCACUACGAGAACAGACGUUUGGGGCUCGGUCUUCAUGAAGGCCGAAAUAUUUGAACAA
rnacentral:lncRNA from 1 species